AGGACACCUACGGAAAUAUUUAGUUUCUUUGUGAUCAUUAUAAUGUUACAUAGUAGUGUUGUGGUCAGUAUGAACUGUGAUAGAUUAAAUUUGAAACCUGAAGCGCCAGUUUGUAGUGACGUGUCUGUUAGCGGAAGGACCGUGUAUUUAUCAGGAAUAGACAAUGGUGCAAACGGUGUCGGCUGUAAUUGUUACUUUAGUUUAUGUAGUUUAAAUGCAUCUACGCAGCUACCAGUGACAAUUGAAGUAAGGAAUGUAACUACCGCAACCAACUGGUGUGAUUAUUUAUUAUAUUCUGGAUAUAGAAAUAUUAGUACAACACUGUAUUCGUGUGGUGAAAAUGUACAUAAAACGAGUUUUGAAUUGGGAAUCAUGGAAACUGUGGAAUUGUAUAUACAGAAAGGAACUAUUAAUGGUUUUGGGUUUCCCUUUUGUCUUGAACUAGUUAGUAAACCAGGUUCCGAAAUACAAUUAAGAUGUACGUCCAAGUCAACAACAACAACGUCAAGCACCAACAAUGGUAUGUCGACAAUUUCUGACAGUACCAGGAGAAAUGGUGAUACAUGUGCCACUAGUUAUAGAACGGAUAAACCUGCCAUGCCUUCUACAACUGAAGACCCACCUAAUGAUGAUUCUGGUCAAUUGAUUGGUAUAAUAAUUGGAUCUAUUGUCGCUGUUCUGUUUGUGGUAGCUUUAGUUAUUAUAAUUGUCUGCUUAAUGAAAAGACAAAAGAAGGAUCUCGUAUAUGAGAAGCCACAACAACCACAGCAGAGUUCACAUAUCUAUAUGGAUUUACAUGGUGCACCCGUUAAGAAUGGAACUCCACAACAUAACGAUAAUAUGAACGGCGGAAAUGAAGGGGUGAUUUAAAAAAAAUAUUGACUCUAUACAGUACCGUUGACAUUUAGUAGAUAUGAAUUCUGGGGACUAAUAGUCGCAUGAUACACACAGAAACGGUCUUUCAAGGCAACGUUUGUCACACAAUAAAAGGCUGCAUUGCUUUGUCAUAGAUUAUCCCAAAAUGAAAUAUGGUGUCAUCUGAAAGACUUGAAAACUGUUAAAAUCUAUCUAGUCUAAUAUACAAUCAUGUGUAAAAUUGACGGGAGACUUUUCAGAAUCUCUAUUACCAGCCUUGUUUUCAUUCUAUGUAUGUAACUGAUGUGCAACCAGCUAUAUUACUUGUUUUUAACAUUUAAGGUCAUAUCACUACUCACUCGAUAAUUUACGAAGUAUGAUGAAUUGUCCCGAUUGACAUGUAAACAAAAUGGAAAUGGUAGUUUUCCCUGUGUACGGUGCUUAAUGAUUCUAGAGUUACUAUAUUGAAACAACGAUUCACAGAAUGAUUUCGGCCAUAAAUAACUAGUAAAUCUUAGUGAUCGCAGUGUUCCAUGCACGAUUAGGUGCACGUGAUGAAGAGAUUAUUACCAUGUCAUAUUAUACGCCAGUUUUUCGUUUGAUUGUCUUGAACU